UACAGAGGGGGCAAGCGUUGUUCGGAAUUACUGGGCGUAAAGGGCGCGUAGGCGGCCUGUUAAGUCGAACGUGAAAUCCCCGGGCUCAACCCGGGAACUGCGUCCGAUACUGGCAGGCUUGAAUCCGGGAGAGGGAUGUGGAAUUCCAGGUGUAGCGGUGAAAUGCGUAGAUAUCUGGAGGAACACCGGUGGCGAAGGCGGCAUCCUGGACCGGUAUUGACGCUGAGGCGCGAAAGCCAGGGGAGCAAACGGGG
rnacentral:rRNA from 1 species